rnacentral:rRNA from 1 species
GACGAACGCUGGCGGCGUGCUUAACACAUGCAAGUCGAACGGUAAGGCCCUUCGGGGUACACGAGUGGCGAACGGGUGAGUAACACGUGGGUGAUCUGCCCUGCACUUCGGGAUAAGCCUGGGAAACUGGGUCUAAUACCGGAUAGGACUCCGGACUGCAUGGUCUGGGGUGGAAAGCUUUUGCGGUGUGGGAUGGGCCCGCGGCCUAUCAGCCUGUUGGUGGGGUGAUGGCCUACCAAGGCGACGACGGGUAGCCGGCCUGAGAGGGUGACCGGCCACACUGGGACUGAGAUACGGCCCAGACUCCUACGGGAGGCAGCAGUGGGGAAUAUUGCACAAUGGGCGCAAGCCUGACGCAGCGACGCCGCGUGAGGGAUGACGGCCUUCGGGUUGUAAACCUCUUUCAGCAUCGACGAAGCGAAAGUGACGGUAGGUGCAGAAGAAGGACCGGCCAACUACGUGCCAGCAGCCGCAGUAA